rnacentral:lncRNA from 1 species
UGGUCAGUUCAUCUUCAUAUGCUGAAAUCUUUGAUUCCUGGCUUGUUAUUUCAGCUUUCAGCAUAGCAAUCAAGUGGGCCUCCUCUGCACACUUCUGCCUGAUAUCAUUGAGUUGCUCUUCCAACUUGGCCUUCUGCUCAUCAAGAUCGUUAAGGAUUUCCUGCGCUUCCUGUUUCUGCGCUUGCAGCUUUUGCAGGUUACUGCUCUCCCGUUUUACUUCAUCUUGUAGAUCCUGGACCUCACUCGUCCUCUGUUUGAUGGUAUCUUCUUUCUCCUUCAGGUCUUGCUCUACAUUAUUCUUUUCCC